ACUUGAUGGUGUUUAUGACGUCGAAAAUCGACGUCAUAAACACCAAACUUGAUGGUGUUUAUGACGUCGAAUAUCGACGUCAUAAACACGA
rnacentral:miRNA from 1 species